rnacentral:rRNA from 1 species
AUUGAACGCUGGCGGCAUGCCUUACACAUGCAAGUCGAACGGUAACAGGUCUUCGGAUGCUGACGAGUGGCGAACGGGUGAGUAAUACAUCGGAACGUGCCUAGUAGUGGGGGAUAACUACUCGAAGGAGUGGCUAAUACCGCAUGAGAUCUACGGAUGAAAGCAGGGGAUCGCAAGACCUUGUGCUACUAGAGCGGCCGAUGGCAGAUUAGGGAGUUGGUGGGAUAAAAGCUUACCAAGCCGACGAUCUGUAGCUGGGCUGAGAGGACGAUCAGCCACACUGGGACUGAGACACGGCCCAGACUCCUACGGGAGGCAGCAGUGGGGAAUUUUGGACAAUGGGCGAAAGCCUGAUCCAGCAAUGCCGCGUGCAGGAUGAAGGCCUUCGGGUUGUAAACUGCUUUUGUACGGAACGAAAAGCCCCGGGUUAAUACCCUGGGGUCAUGACGGUACCGUAAGAAUAAGCACCGGCUAACUACGUGCCAGCCGCCGCGGUAA